GGCUCUCUGGGGCACACCUGCGGAAGGAAGUGGAGCUGAAAGGGGGCCGGACACGUGCUCCUCGGCGGCUCACCUUCCACGGAGCACCCCCGAGUGCUCCCAUCUUUCACAAAAGUCCUCUUUUCCUAGGAGGAUAACCCUUCUGGUCCCAGCUUCCCUCAGAAGCCCGGCCCCCUCCGAUCUCCCUCGGCCGCUGCCCUCCGGAUUCGCCCGGCUCAGAGCCCGAUGCCCCCGCGGGCCCGCGCUCACCAUGCGUAGGGGAUGGGGCGGGGCCCGCCCAUGACGUAGCGGCCCCGGGUGCCGCCCAGAGGCCGCACCAGCCCGAAGUCAGCCACCUUGAUGGUGCGCGGCGACGCCAGCAGCAGGUUGCGCGUAGCGAGGUCUCGGUGCACCAGCCCUCGGGCCCCCAGGAGUCCCAGAUUAAUGCAGGAGUCUCCGUUCAGCUUCCUCACCUUGCAGUGGGUUUACAAAUUAGUAUGCGAUCCUCCCGCCUCAGCCUUCCAAGGAGCUAGGACUGCAGCCGCGCACCACCAGUACUGUCGGAAGCAGGUUCUCAGUACAUGCUAUUAGGUGCUGGAGACCCAGGUGGACCAGCAGACACAACUUCCCCCAGGGGAGCUUCAUUCUAGAGGGCCUGCAGAACAUGGUAAGGAGCUUGGGCCUUACCUGAGGGCUCUGGGGAGUGGUCUUACACAGGGGAGUGACAGAAUCAGCGUGCUGUGGAGACCGGGAGAGGGCGAGGGAGAAGCAGGGGGCAGAGCGAAGGGGCGCUGACUGCUGGAUUAGGAGAGAGAGACUGGCCUGCCGAGGCCCUGCUUAUGGAGUGAUAAAAAGGAAAAAAAAAAGUGUUUUAAUACUCUCACAUAUCAUUCUGACAACAGAUGUGUGGGUUUUUUCCCCCUGUGCCAACCAAUUCUCCAAUUCUCUGCAGACGUCAACUGGAUGUCCUAUAAUUUAAUUCGGUUCUGGCACUCAGUACCUAGUUAGUGCAGACCCCUACCUAGUUAAGGGCUCAUUCUCACAGAUGCCCCUGACUUCAGAUGCCAACUGUUCCUCCAAGCCUCUUGUCCUUCUCACUGGCCAGUUAGAACUCAGGGGUCCCCACGACCCCUACCUCGGGUUGAAUAAUUUGAUAGAAUGGCUCACGAAACUGAGGGAAACAUUUACUUACAUUUACCAGUUUGUUUUAAAGGAAUAUUAUAGGGCAGGCACGGUGGCUCACGCCUGUAAUCU